rnacentral:snRNA from 1 species
UUGCUUGCUUUGGGAGCACAUAUACUAAAAUUGGAACGGUACAAAGAAGAUUAGCAUGGCCCCUGCGCAAGGAUGACAUGAAGAUUCGUGAAGCAUUCCAUAUUUUU